CUGGAAUAUUCCACGGAAUUACUAGGUAGACUAAAAUUAUCAGCCAAUGAAAAAUCACAGGAUAGAGUAUUUAAAACGAACUCAUCCAUUUUAUUCUCCGUUAACGCCACUGAAAAUCAACUGUAGACUUCUACUUCAUAAAGGUUUAAGGUUUCUCCAAAAUGUCGGGACGAGGUCAAAGCCAAUCCAACAAUGACAACAGGUCGAACCAAUGCAAUCCAAACAAUCCGGAAUAUAAAGGUCACACAAGCAGCUAUUCCGGAACCGGAACUAAGCCGGAUCUGGAUAACCAUGGCAACCAAUUAAAUCCAAACAACGAAAGAUACCAGCCGAAACAGAAGUAGUAUUGGCGGGAAAAUAUGACGGGGAGAAAUAAACUGUCAUCAGUUGAUUCAUUGAAAUUCUCUGUAGAACACUUCAAACGCUUAAAUAUUGUUCUCUUUUUGUUCUCUUUUUAAAUCAUUUCCAAUAAAACAAAUUUCACAAA